rnacentral:lncRNA from 1 species
CUCCAAACCUUCCAAACACCCCAAACAAGCAUCCAAACUUUCCCAAAACAUGCAUUAACUAUUCUACAACAUGCAACCAAGCACAUAGGGGUCUCAAACUAUCCUAAACCCCAACAACAAUACAUUCAUUAUACAUAAACACACAUUUGCAUAAAGGGUAACAUAAACCCUCAACCUUAUGCAUAUGUUCUAAAACAACCCAAAUCCUCACAUACUCUCUCCCCAUCAUGCAUACUCACUCU